rnacentral:misc_RNA from 1 species
GAAAUGCGAUAAGUAAUGUGAAUUGCAGAAUUCAGUGAAUCAUCGAAUCUUUGAACGCACCUUGCGCUCCUUGGUAUUCCGAGGAGCAUGCCUGUUUGAGUGUCAUGGAAUUGUCAACUCUAUUUGCUUUUGUGAAUAGAGCUUGGAUUUGGAGGUUUAUUGCUGGUACUUGUGAUCGGCUCCUCUUGAAUGCAUUAGCUCGAACCUUUGCGGAUCAGCUAUCGGUGUGAUAAUUGUCUACGCCGUUGCAGUGAAGCAUAUCAAUGGGCUCGGCUUCCAAUCGUCCUUUACUGGACAAUGACUUUGACCUUUGACCUCAAAUCAGGUAGGAUUACCCGCUGAACUUAAG